rnacentral:rRNA from 1 species
GGCUUAUACAUGGCAGUCGAACGGUAACAGAGCUAGCAAUAGCUGCUGACGAGUGGCGGAUGGGUGCGUAACGCGUAUGCAACCUACCUGUAAUUGGAACAUAACGUUGAGAAAUUAGCGCUAAUAUUCCAUGUGGAUAUGAGACGGCAUCGUUUUAUAUUUAAAGAUUUAUUGAUUACAGAUGGGCAUGCGUAUCAUUAGCUAGUUGGUAAGGUAACGGCUCGCCAAGGCAACGAUGAUUAGGGGUUCUGAGAGGAUAUCCCCCCACACUGGAACUGAGACACGGUCCAGACUCCUACGGGAGGCAGCAGUAGGGAAUAUUGGGCAAUGGAGGCAACUCUGACCCAGCCAUGCCGCGUGAAGGAAUACAGCCCUACGGGUUUUAAACUUCUUUUAUUAUAGAGUAACCGGAGGUACGUGUACCUCCCUGCAAGUAUAUAAUGAAUAAGGAUCGGCUAACUCCGUGCCAGCAGCCGCGGUAAUACGGAGGAUCCGAGCGUUAUCCGGAUUUAUUGGGUUUAAAGGGUGCGCAGGCUGAUCGAUAAGUCAGGGGUGAAAAAUUUCAGCUUAACUGGAAUCGUGCCUUUGAUACUGUCGGACUAGAGUGUAACUGACGUGACUGGAAUGUGCCGUGUAGCGGUGAAAUGCUUAGAUAUGUCACAGAACGCCAAUCGUGAAGACAGGUCACGAAGUUACUACUGACGCUCAUGCACGAAAGCGUGGGGAUCAAACAGGAUUAGAUACCCUGGUAGUCCACGCUGUAAACGAUGAUUACUCGUUGUUGGGCAUUUAUGCUCAGUGGCCAAGCGAAAGUGAUAAGUAAUCCACCUGGGGAGAACGAUCGCAAGGUUGAAACUCAAAGGAAUUGAAGGGGGCCCGCACAAGCGGA